rnacentral:rRNA from 1 species
AGUCGACGAUGAAGCCCUUCGGGGUGGAUUAGUGGCGAACGGGUGAGUAACACGUGGGCAAUCUGCCCUUCACUCUGGGACAAGCCCUGGAAACGGGGUCUAAUACCGGAUAACACCCCCCAUCGCAUGGUGGGGGGUUAAAAGCUCCGGCGGUGAAGGAUGAGCCCGCGGCCUAUCAGCUUGUUGGUGGGGUGAUGGCCUACCAAGGCGACGACGGGUAGCCGGCCUGAGAGGGCGACCGGCCACACUGGGACUGAGACACGGCCCAGACUCCUACGGGAGGCAGCAGUGGGGAAUAUUGCACAAUGGGCGAAAGCCUGAUGCAGCGACGCCGCGUGAGGGAUGACGGCCUUCGGGUUGUAAACCUCUUUCAGCAGGGAAGAAGCGAAAGUGACGGUACCUGCAGAAGAAGCGCCGGCUAACUACGUGCCAGCAGCCGCGGUAAUACGUAGGGCGCAAGCGUUGUCCGGAAUUAUUGGGCGUAAAGAGCUCGUAAGCGGCUUGUCACGUCGGAUGUGAAAGCCCGGGGCUUAACCCCGGGUCUGCAUUCGAUACGGGCUAGCUAGAGUGUGG